rnacentral:rRNA from 1 species
AGAGUUUGAUCCUGGCUCAGAAUCAACGCUGGCGGCGUGCCUCAGACAUGCAAGUCGAACGCGAAAGCCCCCUUCGGGGGGCAAGUAGAGUGGCGCACGGGUGAGUAACACGUAGGUAAUCUACCUUUGGAUGGGGAAUAACAACCGGAAACGGUUGCUAAUACCGCAUAAUGCAGCGGCACCUAACGGUGACAGUUGUUAAAGCGGGGGAUCGCAAGACCUCGCGUCUGAAGAGGAGCCUGCGGCGGAUUAGCUAGUUGGUAAGGUAACGGCUUACCAAGGCGAUGAUCCGUAGCCGGCCUGAGAGGGCGGUCGGCCACACUGACACUGACAUACGGGUCAGACUCCUACGGGAGGCAGCAGUCGGGAAUUUUGGGCAAUGGGCGAAAGCCUGACCCAGCAACGCCGCGUGAAGGAUGAAAUCCUUCGGGAUGUAAACUUCGCAAGAACAGGAAGAAUAAGUAAGGGUUAAUAUCUCUUACGAUGACGGUACUGUUUGUAAGCUCCGGCUAACUCCGUGCCAGCAGCCGCGGUAAUACGGGGGGAGCAAGCGUUGUUCGGAUUUACUGGGCGUAAAGGGCGCGUAGGCGGCCACCGCAAGUCGACUGUGAAAUCUCCGGGCUUAACCCGGAAAGGUCAGCCGAUACUGCGGGGCUAGAGUGCAGAAGGGGCAACUGGAAUUCUCGGUGUAGCGGUGAAAUGCGUAGAUAUCAAGAGGAACACCUGAGGUGAAGACGGGUUGCUGGGCUGACACUGACGCUGAGGCGCGAAAGCCAGGGGAGCAAACGGGAUUAGAUACCCCGGUAGUCCUGGCCCUAAACGAUGAAUACUUGGUGUCUGGAGUCAUUAAUGCUCCGGGUGCCGUCGCUAACGUUUUUAGUAUUCCGCCUGGGGAGUACGCUCGCAAGAGUGAAACUCAAAGGAAUUGACGGGGACCCGCACAAGCGGUGGAGCAUGUGGUUCAAUUCGACGCAACGCGAAAAACCUUACCUGGGUUUGACAUGUCGGUGGUAGGAAACCGAAAGGGGCCCGACCCCGCAAGGGGAGCCGACACAGGUGCUGCAUGGCUGUCGUCAGCUCGUGUCGUGAGAUGUUGGGUUAAGUCCCGCAACGAGCGCAACCCUCGCCCCUAGUUGCCAACGGGUCAUGCCGGGAACUCUAGGGGGACUGCCCCGGUUAACGGGGAGGAAGGUGGGGAUGACGUCAAGUCAUCAUGGCCUUUAUGUCCAGGGCUACACACGUGCUACAAUGGCCGGUACAAAGGGUCGCAAACGCGCGAGCGGAAGCUAAUCCCAAAAAGCCGGUCCCAGUUGGGAUCGCAGUCUGCAACUCGACUGCGUGAGCGCGGAAUCGCUAGUAAUCGCGAAUCAGCAGGUCGCGGUGAAUACGUUCCCGGGUCCUGUACACACCGCCCGUCACACCACGAAAGCCGAUUGUACUUGAAGUCGCUGGGCUAACCCGCAAGGGAGGCAGGUGCCGAAGGUAUGGUUGGUGAUUGGGGUGAAGUCGUAACAAGGUAACC